rnacentral:tRNA from 1 species
GGGGACAUAGCUCAGUGAUAGAGUGCGUGCUUAGCAUGCACGAGGUCCUGGGUUCAAUUUCCUAGUACCUUCA